rnacentral:rRNA from 1 species
CAGGGCUUGACAUCCCGGUGACCGGUAUAGAGAUAUACCUUUCCCUUCGGGGACGCCGGUGACAGGUGGUGCAUGGUUGUCGUCAGCUCGUGUCGUGAGAUGUUGGGUUAAGUCCCGCAACGAGCGCAACCCUUAUUGUUAGUUGCUACGCAAGAGCACUCUAGCGAGACUGCCGUUGACAAAACGGAGGAAGGUGGGGACGACGUCAAAUCAUCAUGCCCCUUAUGUCCUGGGCCACACACGUACUACAAUGGCGGUAAACAGAGGGAAGCAAUACCGCGAGGUGGAGCAAAUCCCUAAAAGCCGUCCCAGUUCGGAUCGCAGGCUGAAACCCGCCUGCGUGAAGUUGGAAUCGCUAGUAAUCGCGGAUCAGCAUGCCGCGGUGAAUACGUUCCC